rnacentral:tRNA from 1 species
CGCGGGGUAGAGCAGUGGUAGCUCGCCAGGCCCAUAACCUGGAGGACGCCGGUUCGAUUCCGGCCCCCGCUA